AGAGUUUGAUCAUGGCUCAGAACGAACGCUGGCGGCAGGCCUAACACAUGCAAGUCGAACGCUCCGCAAGGGGAGUGGCAGACGGGUGAGUAACACGUGGGAAUCUUCCUAUUGGUUCGGAAUAGCUCAGGGAAACUUGGGGUAAUACCGGAUAAGCCCGUGAGGGGAAAGAUUUAUCGCCGAUAGAUGAGCCCGCGUCUGAUUAGCUAGUUGGUGGGGUAAUGGCCUACCAAGGCGACGAUCAGUAGCUGGUCUGAGAGGAUGACCAGCCACACUGGGACUGAGACACGGCCCAGACUCCUACGGGAGGCAGCAGUGGGGAAUAUUGGACAAUGGGCGCAAGCCUGAUCCAGCCAUGCCGCGUGAGUGACGAAGGUCUUCGGAUUGUAAAGCUCUUUUGCCAGGGACGAUAAUGACGGUACCUGAGAAUAGCCCCUGACCCG
rnacentral:rRNA from 1 species